rnacentral:sRNA from 1 species
CGGGUUCUGCCCUUCCCGUGCCGGGGUCAAAUUCCGGUGGCCUUAAUCAAUUCCGAGGGAGCUGGCUCUGGCCGGACCGUGGUUCGACUACCUGGCGCCCACCUGUGUAAACAGGUCCUCGGGAAUUACGCACCCUUACGGUUGCGGUGGUCCCGCC